CCUGGUGAAGAAUGUGAUGGGAUCACUAGCAUGUCUACAGAGAGCGGCCCUGGGACACGAUUGAGAAAUCUGCCAGUAAUGGGGGAUGGACUAGAAACUUCCCAAAUGUCUACAACGCAGGCCCAGGCCCAAACCCAGCCAGCAAAUGCAGCCAGCACCAAUCCUCCACCCCAGAGACCUCCAACCUAACAAGCCCAAGAGGCGACCAACCAACUGCAAUAUCUGCUCAGAGUGGUGCUCAAGACACUAUGGAAACACCAGUUUGCGUGGCCUUUCCAGCAGCCUGUGGAUGCCGUCAAGCUGAACCUCCCUGAUUACUAUAAGAUCAUUAAAACACCCAUGGAUAUGGGAACAAUAAAGAAGCGCUUGGAAAACAACUAUUACUGGAAUGCUCAGGAAUGUAUCCAGGACUUCAACACUAGUUUACAAUGUUACAUCUAUAACAAGCCUGGAGAAUGACAUCGUCUUAAUGGCAGAAGCUCUGGAGAGCUCUUCUUGCAAAAAAUCAAUGAACUGCCUACAGAAGAAACUGAGAUCAUGAUAGUCCAGGCAAAAGGAAGAGGACGAGGGAGGAAAGAAACUGGUAGGGCAGCAAAGCCUGGUGUAUCCCCGGUACCAAACACAACUCAAGCAUAACUUCUCCACAAACCCAGACGCCUCAGCAGAACCCUCCUCCACCUGUGCAGGCCACACUCACCCCUUUCCUGCUGUUACCCCAGACCUCAUUGCGCAGCCUCCUGUUAUGACAAUGGUGCCCCCCCAGCCACUUCAGACUCCUUCACCGUACCUCCCCCCCGCCACCACCACCACCUGCUCCAGUUCCACACCUGUGCAGAGUCACCCGCCUAUCAUGGCGACUUACCCCACAGCCUACGAAGACAAAGAAAGGGGUGAAGAGGAAAGCAGAUACCAACUACCCCCCACCACCAUCGACCCAUUCAUGAGCCGCCCUCAUUGGCCCCAGAGCCUAAGACAGCUAAACAAGUUCUGGGUCCGCCUCAGCACGGGAGAGCAGCAGACCUGUGAAGCCCCCAAAGAAGGAUGUACCAGACUCACAGCAGCAUCCAGGGCCAGAGAGAGCAGCAAGAUCUCUGAGCAGCUGAAGUGCUGCAGUGGCAUCCUCAAGGAGAUUUUGCCAAGAAACAUGCUUGCCUAUGCCUGGCCUUUCUACAAGCCUGGGAUGUGGAGGCACCUGGUUCUGGCACGACUACUGUGACAUCAUUAAACAUCCCAUGGACAAUGAGCACAAUCAAUCUAAACUAGAGUCCCCCGGGGUACAGGGAUGCCCAGGAAUUUGGUGCGAUGUGCGAUUAUGUUCUCUCAACUGCUACAAGUAUAACCCCCCUGACCAGAAGUAGUAGCCAUGGCUCGAAAACUCCAGGAUGUGUUUGAAAUGCGCUUUGCCAAGAUGCCUGAUGAGCCUGAAGAGCCGGUUGUUAUGGUGUCCUCCCCUGCAGUGCCACCCCCUACAAAGGUGGUAGCCCCCGCCCUCAUCUAGUGACAGCAGCAGUGAUAGUUCCUCCGACAGUGACAGUUUCCUCUGACGACUCCGAGGAAGAGCGAGCCCAGAGGCUGGCUGAGCUCCAGGAACAGCUCAAAGCCGUGCAUGAGCAGCUUGCAGCCCUCUCACAGCCCCAGCAGAACAAACCAAAGAAAAAGGAGAAGGACAAGAAGGAAAAGAAAAAGGAAAAGCACAAAAAGAAAGAAGAAGUGGAGGAAAAUAAAAAAAGCAAAACCAAGGAACUUCCUCCCAAAAAGACAAAGAAAAAUAACAGCAGCAACAGCAAUGUGAGCAAGAAGGAACCAGCACCCACGAAGACCAAGCCUCCUCCCACAUAUGAAUCAGAAGAAGAGGACAAGUGUAAACCCAUGUCUUAUGAGGAGAAGCGGCAGCUAAGUCUAGAUAUCAACAAGCUUCCUGGUGAGAAGCUAGGCCGUGUAGUACACAUAAUUCAGUCAAGGGAGCCAUCACUUAAAAACUCCAACCCUGAUGAGAUUGAGAUUGACUUUGAGACCUUAAAGCCAUCUACACUACGAGAGUUGGAGCGAUAUGUCACCUCUUGUUUGCGGAAGAAAAGGAAACCUCAAGCUGAAAAAGUUGAUGUGAUUGCUGGUUCUUCCAAGAUGAAGGGCUUCUCAUCCUCUGAGUCGGAGAGCACCAGCGAAUCUAGCUCCUCUGACAGUGAAGACUCUGAAACAGAGAUGGCUCCCAAGUCAAAAAAGAAGGGGCACACUGGGAGGGACCAGAAAAAGCAUCAUCAUCAUCACCAUCCACAGAUGCAGCCAGCCCCAGCUCCUGUGCCCCAGCAGCCGCCCCCACCUCCACAGCAGCCUCCUCCACCCCCACCUCCGCAGCAGCAGCAACAGCAGCAGCAGCCACCCCCACCCCCACCGCCUCCGCCUUCCAUGCCACAGCAGACUGCCCCAGCGAUGAAGUCCUCGCCCCCACCCUUCAUCACUGCCCAGGUACCCGUCCUGGAACCACAGCUACCAGGCAGUGUCUUUGACCCUAUUGGCCACUUCACCCAACCCAUCUUGCACCUGCCGCAGCCGGAGCUGCCUCCUCACCUGCCCCAGCCACCUGAGCACAGCACUCCACCCCAUCUCAACCAGCAUGCUGUGGUCUCUCCUCCAGCUUUGCACAAUGCGCUGCCCCAACAACCAUCUCGGCCCAGCAACCGAGCUGCUGCUCUGCCCCCAAAGCCUACCCGACCCCCAGCUGUGUCUCCUGCCCUGGCCCAGCCGCCCCUGCUCCCACAGCCACCUAUGGCUCAGCCCCCCCAAGUGCUGCUGGAGGAUGAAGAGCCGCCUGCCCCACCCCUCACCUCCAUGCAGAUGCAGUUGUACCUACAGCAGCUGCAGAAGGUGCAGCCUCCCACACCACUACUCCCUUCCGUGAAGGUGCAGUCCCAACCCCCACCGCCUUUGCCGCCUCCGCCCCACCCUUCUGUGCAGCAGCAGCAGCAGCAGCAGCAGCAGCAGCUCCAGCAGCAGCCUCCACCACCCCCACCUCCUCAGCCACAACCACCACCCCAGCAACAACACCAGCCCCCACCACGACCAGUUCACUUGCCAUCCAUGCCCUUUUCUGCUCACAUUCAGCAGCCCCCACCACCCACAGGACAGCAACCCACCCACCCACCCCCGGGACAGCAGCCACCCCCACCACAGCCUGCCAAGCCUCAGCAAGUCAUCCAGCAUCACCCAUCACCCCGGCACCACAAGUCAGACCCCUACGCAGCCGGUCAUCUUCGUGAAGCUCCCUCUCCGCUUAUGAUACAUUCCCCUCAGAUGCCACAGUUCCAGAGCCUGACCCAUCAGUCUCCUCCCCAGCAAAAUGUCCAGCCUAAGAAGCAGGUAAAGGGCAGGGCUGAGCCACAGCCCCCAGGGCCAGUCAUUGGCCGAGGCCAGGGAUGCCCACCUGCCUCACCGGCUGCCGUACCUCUGCUGUCCCAGGAGCUGCGCCCACCUUCAGUCGUCCAGCCCCAGCCCCUGGUGGUAGUAAAAGAGGAGAAGAUUCACUCACCAAUCAUCCGCAGCGAGCCUUUCAGCACCUCACUUCGACCAGAGCCCCCCAAGCACCCAGAGAACAUCAAGGCCCCAGUCCACCUGCCCCAGCGGCCUGAGAUGAAGCCUGUAGAUGUAGGGAGGCCUGUGAUCCGGCCUCCAGAGCAGAGUGCACCCCCACCAGGGGCCCCCGACAAGGACAAGCAGAAACAGGAGCCAAAAACACCAGUGGCACCCAAAAAGGACCUGAAAAUUAAGAACAUGGGCUCCUGGGCCAGCCUGGUACAGAAGCAUCCGACCGCCCCAUCCUCCACAGCCAAGUCCUCAAGUGACAGCUUUGAGCAUUUCCGUCGUGCUGCUCGGGAGAAGGAGGAGCGGGAAAAGGCCCUGAAGGCUCAGGCUGAGCAUGCAGAGAAGGAGAAGGAGCGGCUGAGGCAGGAGCGCAUGAGGAGCCGAGAGGAUGAGGAUGCGCUGGAACAGGCACGUCGAGCCCAUGAGGAGGCACGACGGCGCCAGGAGCAGCAGCAGCAGCAGCAGCAGAGACAGGAGCAGCAGCAGCAGCAACAGCAGGCAGCUGCUGUGGCCGCUGCCUCCGCCCCCCAGGCCCAGAGCUCCCAGCCCCAGUCUAUGCUGGACCAGCAGAGGGAGUUGGCCCGAAAACGAGAGCAGGAGCGGAGGCGCAGGGAGGCAAUGGCAGCUACAAUUGACAUGAAUUUCCAGAGUGAUCUUUUGUCAAUAUUUGAAGAAAAUCUUUUUUGAGAGCACCCAGGUGACUUCGGACUUUUUCUGGCAAAAAUGUUGACUCUCCAUAGUGUUAGGGCGGCAGUGGAAGCAGCAGCAGCCAGGGAUGGCUCUGGGCCUGGCUCUCCUGCAUGCUAUGCCCGGGGCAGGCCUGACGGGCAGCUGAGGAUCGCAGAGCCCAUCUGCCUUACAGCCAGCCGGACAGACGUCCUACCACAUGCCACCCCCUCAGAGGACGUCGGUUCACAGCACGUCUCUAUGAGUCAAGUGCCGGCUGGACCUGAGCCUGCUUCCCCGCGUGCGGGGCAGAGGCCUUUCUCUGCGCCAAAUGUCUACACAGUAUACACAGGACAUUGUUGCUGCCGCCACCGUGACUGGUUUUCUGUCCCUGAGAAUAUGACGUUUGUGACGUCCUACCCAUUGGGAGUCCUUCACACCCCAGCCAUCGCUGCCCACUCCCAGGAGGUCAGGGCAGGCCUGUGUGGACUGGAGCAGCAAGGCACUGGCCCACCCCUUGCUGGCACUGACUUUGCCUUGAACAGACCCUCUCCCCUCCCCCCACAAGCCUUUAAUCGAGAGCCGCUCUCUAUAAGUGUUCGCUUGUGCAAAAGGGAAUAGUGCCGUGGAAGUGUGUGUGUCCAUGGCAGUUUGGACAGAGGUGACUGUUCACAUGUAUGGACAGGCCUCGCCUGGGGAGUAAGGCCACCAACCAAAGUCAGUUCCUUCCCACCUGUGUUUCUGAUUUUUUUUUUCCUAUAUAUAUAUAUUUUUUUGUUGUUGUUGAAUUCUAUUUUAUUUUUAACUCUCUCUUCUCCUCAGACACAGUGAGUGGCACUGCUUAUCUCCAAAUGGUGUGAUGGUCUCCUCAUUGAGCGGCAGCUCCCACUGCGCUGUGGGUAGUGUGUGACCGUGGCUGUACUGUAUAGUGAACAUAGUUGGCAUACCUUUGUUUGAAGUUUGUUGGUGACUCCACCAAACUGGUGUAAAAAAGACAAAAAAAAAAUCCAUGAACCACCCAACACACACAAAACAAUCCUGCUUGUAUUCAGUUACAAACUUUAUUAGUCUUAUUUUUAAUUAUAAAACCAGAAAGCUGCAAUUUCUUUUCCCUCUACCCUUUAUUUGUUGGCUUCUUUGUUUUUUUAAUGUCAAAUCUGUUUGUUUUUACCAAGAAAGGGAGAGCCUGGGGAAGGCUCCAGGCCCUAGUGGGCUGCACCCUGACGGAUGCAGAGGUCCCCACCCAGCACCUGGUCAGACCAGCGCUGCGCCCUCCUUCCUAUUAGUAGUGUUGUUUUGUUUUUAAAUUGGAGCCCCUGGUGAGGUUACAUGUGCCAUGAGAACCCAGUCUCGCCACAGUGCUGGUGCCUCGGUGUUGGCCAAACUCUGGAGUCACUGACUGCUUUGACUUUCAUGUCGUGAAUAUGCAUUUGGUCUGUACUGAUCAUGGAAUAAACACAUCUCUCUUUUUUAA